rnacentral:rRNA from 1 species
UGCAGUCGAACGAUGAACCACUUCGGUGGGGAUUAGUGGCGAACGGGUGAGUAACACGUGGGCAAUCUGCCCUUCACUCUGGGACAAGCCCUGGAAACGGGGUCUAAUACCGGAUAACACUCCUACAGGCAUCUGUGGGGGUUGAAAGCUCCGGCGGUGAAGGAUGAGCCCGCGGCCUAUCAGCUUGUUGGUGAGGUAGUGGCUCACCAAGGCGACGACGGGUAGCCGGCCUGAGAGGGCGACCGGCCACACUGGGACUGAGACACGGCCCAGACUCCUACGGGAGGCAGCAGUGGGGAAUAUUGCACAAUGGGCGAAAGCCUGAUGCAGCGACGCCGCGUGAGGGAUGACGGCCUUCGGGUUGUAAACCUCUUUCAGCAGGGAAGAAGCGAAAGUGACGGUACCUGCAGAAGAAGCGCCGGCUAACUACGUGCCAGCAGCCGCGGUAAUACGUAGGGCGCAAGCGUUGUCCGGAAUUAUUGGGCGUAAAGAGCUCGUAGGCGGUCUGUCGCGUCGGAUGUGAAAGCCCGGGGCUUAACCCCGGGUCUGCAUUCGAUACGGGCAGACUAGAGUGUGGUAGGGGAGAUCGGAAUUCCUGGUGUAGCGGUGAAAUGCGCAGAUAUCAGGAGGAACACCGGUGGCGAAGGCGGAUCUCUGGGCCAUUACUGACGCUGAGGAGCGAAAGCGUGGGGAGCGAACAGGAUUAGAUACCCUGGUAGUCCACGCCGUAAACGGUGGGAACUAGGUGUUGGCGACAUUCCACGUCGUCGGUGCCGCAGCUAACGCAUUAA